CCAGAGAACUUAGCAGAGAUGCUUUGGUGCCUUCGGGAACUCUGAGACAGGUGCUGCAUGGCUGUCGUCAGCUCGUGUUGUGAAAUGUUGGGUUAAGUCCCGCAACGAGCGCAACCCUUAUCCUUUGUUGCCAGCGGCUCGGCCGGGAACUCAAAGGAGACUGCCGGUGAUAAACCGGAGGAAGGUGGGGAUGACGUCAAGUCAUCAUGGCCCUUACGGCCAGGGCUACACACGUGCUACAAUGGCGCAUACGAAGAGAAGCGACCUCGCGAGAGCAAGCGGACCUCAUAAAGUGCGUCGUAGUCCGGAUUGGAGUCUGCAACUCGACUCCAUGAAGUCGGAAUCGCUAGUAAUCGUAGAUCAGAAUGCUACGGUGAAUACGUUCCCGGGCCUUGUACACACCGCCCGUCACACCAUGGGAGUGGGUUGCAAAAGAAGUAGGUAGCUUAACCUUCGGGAGGGCGCUUACCACUUUGUGAUUCAUGACUGGGGUGAAGUCGUAACAAGGUAGGCGUAGCGAG
rnacentral:rRNA from 1 species